GUCUGAGCCAGUGACAUCUCUACAACAGAUUUAUCCAUCGGAUCACCAGCAGUGAUGGUGAUACAUGGCUGUGUACAUUAUGUAUAUACAACUCGUCUAAACAUCAACCCAACAAUGUUAGAUCUGUUAAUUUGCUUUCGCAAAGUUUUUGUUCUUCCCCCGCCGGGAUUCGAACCCAUGCUACUGAGAUAUCGUGACACCAA
rnacentral:lncRNA from 1 species